UACGAAGGGUGCAAACGUUGCUCGGAAUUAUUGGGCGUAAAGCGCACGUAGGCGGCUUUGCAAGUCCCAUGUGAAAUCCCACGGCUUAACCGUGGAAGUGCAUGGGAAACUGCAGAGCUUGAGUACUUAAGAGGAUCGCGGAAUUCCCGGUGUAGAGGUGAAAUGCGUAGAUAUCGGGAGGAACACCAGUGGCGAAGGCGACUACCUGGCCUGUUUCUUGACGCUGAGGCGCGAAAGCUAGGGGAGCAAACGGG
rnacentral:rRNA from 1 species